rnacentral:tRNA from 1 species
GGUUCCAUAGGGUAGCGGUUAGCACGUCUGCUUUACACGCAGAACAUCCUGAGUUUGCACCCGAGUGGAGCCA